rnacentral:rRNA from 1 species
GACGAACGCUGGCGGCGUGCCUAAUACAUGCAAGUCGAGCGAAGUUUUUCUGGUGCUUGCACUAGAAAAACUUAGCGGCGAACGGGUGAGUAACACGUAAAGAACCUGCCUCAUAGACUGGGACAACUAUUGGAAACGAUAGCUAAUACCGGAUAACAGCAUUAACUGCAUGGUUGAUGUUUAAAAGUUGGUUUUGCUAACACUAUGAGAUGGCUUUGCGGUGCAUUAGCUAGUUGGUGGGGUAAAGGCCUACCAAGGCGACGAUGCAUAGCCGACCUGAGAGGGUGAUCGGCCACACUGGGACUGAGACACGGCCCAGACUCCUACGGGAGGCAGCAGUAGGGAAUCUUCCGCAAUGGGCGAAAGCCUGACGGAGCAACGCCGCGUGAGUGAAGAAGGAUUUCGGUUCGUAAAGCUCUGUUGUUAGGGAAGAAUGAUUGUGUAGUAACUAUACACAGUAGAGACGGUACCUAACCAGAAAGCCACGGCUAACUACGUGCCAGCAGCCGCGGUAAUACGUAGGUGGCAAGCGUUGUCCGGAAUUAUUGGGCGUAAAGCGCGCGCAGGUGGUUUAAUAAGUCUGAUGUGAAAGCCCACGGCUCAACCGUGGAGGGUCAUUGGAAACUGUUAAACUUGAGUGCAGGAGAGAAAAGUGGAAUUCCUAGUGUAGCGGUGAAAUGCGUANAGAUUNNNAGGAACACCAGUGGCGANNCGGCUUUUUGGGCCUGUAACUGACACUGNNGCGCGAAGCGUGGGNGCAANNGG